rnacentral:rRNA from 1 species
AGAGUUUGAUCCUGGCUCAGAACGAACGCUAGCGGUACCCCUUACAUAUGCAAGUCGAACGGGAAUUUUCGAUUAUUUAUAGCUUGCUAUAAGUGAUUUAAGAUUUUUAGUGGCAAACGGGUGAAUAACACGUGAGAAUCUGCCCUCUAAACCGGGAUAUACCUGUGGGAAACCACACUUUAAUACCGGAUAAUUCAACAAAAAGGGAUUUUUGUUGGCAAAGGCUUCGGUCGAUAGAGGAUUUGCUCGCGGCGCAAUUGUUGUUGGUAGAGUAAUAGCCUACCAAGCUAUAUUGUGUAGCUGGUCUGAGAGGACGGUCAGCCACACUGGGACUGAGAUACGGCCCAGACUCCUUAGGGAGGCAGCAAUGGGGAAUUUUGGACAAUGGAGGAAACUCUGAUCCAGGGAUACCGCGUGAGUGAUGAAGGCCUUCGGGUUGUAAAACUCUUUCAGUGGGGACGAAGAAGUGACGUUAUACCCACAAAAGAAACACCGACUAACUCUGUGCCAGCAGUCGCGGUAAUACAGAGGGUGCAAGCGUUGUUCGGAAUUACUGGGCGUAAAGGAUGCGUAGGCUGUUUUAUAAGUCUGUUGUUAAAUACUAAAGCUCAACUUUAGCUCGCAAUAGAUACCGUUAAACUAGAGACCGGAAGAGGCAAGUGGAAUUUCUAAUUUAGAGGUCAAAUUCUCCGAUAUUAGAAGGAACACCAGAAGCGAAGGCGACUUGCUGGGACGGAUCUGACGCUGAGGCAUGAAAGUGUGGGGAGCAAAUGGGAUUAGAUACCCCGGUAGUCCACACUGUAAACGAUGAGAGCUAGAUAUCGGGAUUUUUUAAUCUCGGUUUCGCAGCUAACGCAAUAAGCUCUCCGCCUGAGGAGUAAAGUCGCAAGGCCGAAACUUAAAGGAAUUGACGGGGACCCGCACAAGCGGUGGAACAUGUGGUUUAAUUCGAAGGCACACGAAAAACCUUACCAGUUCUUGACAUAUCCGGUUAUAAACAUAAGAAAUUAUGUUGUCAUUCAGUUGGACCAGAAACAGGUGCUGCAUGGCCGUCGUCAGCUCGUGUCGUGAGAUGUUGGGUUAAGUCCCGCAACGAGCGCAACCCUUAUCUUUAGUUGCUAACAGGUAAUGCUGAGUUCUUUAAAGAGACUGACAGUGAUAAACUGUAGGAAGGUGAGGAUGACGUCAGGUACUCAUGGCCCUUAUGGACUGGGCUACACAUGUGUUACAAUGGUGGUUACAAAAAGAAGCAAGUUAGAAAUAAUGAGCAAAUCUAAAAAAGCCAUCUUAGUUCGGAUUGACCCCUGCAACUCGGGGUCAUGAAGUUGAAAUCGCUAGUAAUCGUGGAUCAGCAUGCCACGGUGAAUACGUUCUCGGGUCUUGUACACACCGCCCGUCGCACCACGGAAGUUGGUUUUUCCGGAAGUCGGUUAUCUAACCUGAAAAGGAGGAAGCCGCCCAAGGAAGGGUCGAUGACUGGGGUUAAGUCGUAACAAGGUAACC